rnacentral:lncRNA from 1 species
UGUAUUAUCUUCAAGGCACAGUUUCUAAAGUUGACGUGAACAUGCCAAAAGCUGAGGUAGAAGUGAAAAAGAAGAAGUUAAAGAAGGUGACAUUCAGUGAGAAUCUGAUUCAAGGACCUACUCCAUAUCGUUUUGAAACAAGAGAUUUAUUAGAUGAAGGUGGAGACUCUUCUUCAUCAGAAGAAUCUAAAAAGGUGGCUGAAAUUAAGUCUAAGAAAGUUUCAAGGGAUUUGCAAGAAAUCAGAAGCUUUAAUGAAAAUCUGAGCAUGGAGUUUAAGGAGAAUGGCGUGGGAAAGGUUUCAGAGAUUUUGGAAACGGGUACCUUCGGAGGUAAAGCUAAAGGAGAUUUAGUUUUACCUACAGUUCACACAAGUAAAAGUCCAGCAGAGUUUGUAAGUGAAGCAGUACCUGAACAGAAAGCUCAGGUGUGCUGCGAUCCUCUCAACAUAGUCUAAGGUUGGUACAGCUCCAGGUAACUCCAUAUUAUUGGCAUGGUACUCUCGCAGGAAGAACACAGAAACGGUCGGUUUUGGAAAUGUUCUUAUGUCGAUAAUUAAUGGAUUAGAGGAG